rnacentral:misc_RNA from 1 species
UCUUAAAACACACCACCAAGCCGGG